CUGCGAGUGAAGCGGGAAAAGCUCAAAUUUAAAAUCUGGCAGUCUCUGGCUGUCCGAGUUGUAAUCUAGAGAAGUGUUAUCCGCGCUGGACCGUGUACAAGUCUCCUGGAAUGGAGCGUCAUAGAGGGUGAGAAUCCCGUCUUUGACACGGACUGCCAGGGCUCUGUGAUGCGCUCUCAAAGAGUCGAGUUGUUUGGGAAUGCAGCUCAAAAUGGGUGGUAAAUUCCAUCUAAAGCUAAAUAUUGGCGAGAGACCGAUAGCGAACAAGUACCGUGAGGGAAAGAUGAAAAGAACUUUGGAAAGAGAGUUAAACAGUACGUGAAAUUGCUGAAAGGGAAACGCUUGAAGUCAGUCGCGUUGUCCAGGGAUCAACCUUGCUUUUGCCAGGUGCAUUUCCUGGUUGACGGGUCAGUAUCAAUUUUGAUCAUUGGAAAAAGAUUAGGGGAAUGUGGCAUCUUUGGAUGUGUUAUAGCCCUUGGUUGCAUACAAUGGUUGGGAUUGAGGAACUCAGCAUGCCGCAAGGCCGGGUUUAACCACGUACGUGCUUAGGAUACUGGCAAAAUGGCUUUAAUCGACCCGUCUUGAAACACGGACCAAGGAGUCUAACAUGCCUGCGAGUGUUUGGGUGGAAAACCCGAGCGCGUAAUGAAAGUGAAAGUUGAGAUCCCUGUCGUAGGGAGCAUCGACGCCCGGACCAGACCUUUUGUGACGGCUCCGCGGUAGAGCAUGUAUGUUGGGACCCGAAAGAUGGUGAACUAUGCCUGAAUAGGGUGAAGCCAGAGGAAACUCUGGUGGAGGCUCGUAGCGAUUCUGACGUGCAAAUCGAUCGUCAAAU
rnacentral:rRNA from 1 species